rnacentral:rRNA from 1 species
AUGGCAGAAUGCUUCAAUGAGGUGCUCAAGGGUGUACGUGCAUUACCCGUGACGGCAAUAGUUCAAUACACAUUUGACAAGUUGAAUGAAUACUUUUUAAAGCACUCAAUGGAGACUGAUAAGCAGAUUGCUGGUGAGAACAAGGAUAAGCACAAGUACAAUUUCCCACCAAAGGUCGAAGAAUGGUUGGAAUUUCAAUCACGAAAGGCAGACUCCGAAGAAGCUGUACUAUAUAACGACAACGAGUGGAAGUAUGAGGUGAAAGAGCCCGGAGGAACCACAAACGAUGGCCGCCAACACGGAGGCCGGGCUUUCAAGGUCUCCCUAACACGGUGUGAUUGCAGCUGCAUGAGGCCGUCUUUGCUUCAUCUCCCAUGCUCGCACUUGUUAAAUGCAUCCCGGGUUAGGAAUGUGGACGUCAAUCACCCUCUUACCGUGAGGGAGUCCGAGUUCUCAAUCAUGACGGUAAAGAAUACAUGGACUCAACGGUUCCAGCCAUACUUGGACCAAUCACAAUGGCCGGAGUAUCAUGGAGUUCAACUAUGGCCGGACCCG